UUCAUCCCAGCCUGCAGGAAAGGCUGAAAGUGACUCCUCUGCCCAGAUUAUGCCAACGAGUAUGCUGAGCAAGGGGGUAGCUAGGAGGGAGGUCUCUUCUGUCUCCCUGUGACCUCCUCAUCUCUCCUGGCCACCCCUCUCUGCAGCCCCUUCACGUGACUACUGGCUCAAAAUGGCGCUUCCCUCCCCUCCCUCCCCUGCUGGCAUCUCGAUUGUUCCAAGCAGAGCUCCCAUCCAUAAUAGCUGCUUCCCUGCCUCCCUUCUCAGAGGACAACUCCUUACCAAGGACUUACCUGGAAAAGAUUUACCCUGGACAGGACGGUCCCAGCCUAGGAGGGGAACUCCUGUGGAGAGACUCCUCUCUCAGGAGAUGGGAGAAAACUUAGAGUAAAAAUGCCCCAAGUAUGGACCCCCGCCUUACUGUGAGGCUCAUCCGUAAGUCUCUGAAUCAGGCUCCUGCAUCCUGGACCAUCCCAUCUGCAUCCUGGACCAUCCCAUCUGCAUCCUUGCCUCACAGUCCCCCAGAGCAGGCCAAAGGAUGGUGCAGCAAGAAGACCCUUGCAGGAUGCCAGCCUCUUGAUCUUGGACUUCCCAGCCAUCAGAACUGUGAGAAAUAAAUUUCUGUUCGUUAUAAAUUGCCCAGUCUGUGUAUUCUGUUACAACAGCAGAAAACGACCCAAGACACCAUGCUUCUUGUUUCUAGGGAUCUGUUAAGUAUAAACUUCUUCUUUUGUGCCAGUCAUUUUGUGUCUGUGUAUCUUACCAUACCGAAUUAAAAUAAAUCCAGAGUACUUUUUUUGACACGGCCUGUAUGCAUGCAUAUGUGUCAGUGUAUUUGUGUUUGUGUCUCUGUAUGUGUAUGUAUGUUUAUGUAUCUGUGUGUGUGUAUGAUGGGGUAUGCAGGUAGGCAUGAAUACAAGGAAAUGAGCUGAUUUACUCUGUAGAACUUCAACAGCUCAGGAUUUGGGGCAGCAGUGUCAUAGCUGAAUCAUGUUCUCUCUCACCCCCAAAGAUGCUGAGGUCCUAACCUCAGUAUUUCAGAAUGGGACCUUAUUUGGAGCAGGGUAUUUACAGAGGUAAUCACAUUAAAAUGAAGUCAUUAGAGUGAGAUCUAAUCCAAGAUGAUUGUGUCCUUACAAAAGGGGAAAUUUGGAUUCAGAGAUAGACACAAUAGAAGAAAGGCAACACGAAGACAUGGGGAGAGCACCAUCUCCGAGCCAGGGAACACUCAAGGCUAUCAGCAGCCAGGAGAGAGGCCUGGAACAGACUGUCUCUUGAAUCAAAGAAUCAACCCUGCAACACCCUGAUUUCAAAUUUCUAGUCUCCUGAAUUGUGAGAAAAUUUCUGCUGUUUAAGCCACUCAGUGUGUGGUACUUUGUUACAACAGCCCCAGGAAACUAAUACAACCAUAGACUAAGGAAGGUGGGGAGAGAUAUGGGGCUGAAAAUGCAGGAAGAUUUGAAAGUCUAUAUAUUAAAGGAUUGAUCCUCAGGAUCCUUUUUCUUGGCAGCCUGAAAAAUGCCCAUUCCUCAGGCAUAAUUUCUGUCCUCCACAUCUGCCUCAUCUUCUGCUGCCCAUAGGAGAUUUUUUUUUUUUUUUUUCCCCUAGGGAAGUUAAACCAGAGACUCUCUGUCUCAAGUUCCCAGUUACUGCAGAAAGUGAGUGUGUCUCAGGACUGAAAACUGAUAUGAAAUGGAGAUGUUGCAGGGCCCUUUCUGAACUUUUCUCAAGAACUUAGACAACCAAGAAUAUACCAUUGGCUCCCCCAUCCUGCCUCUACCUAUACAGAACUGGAGAAAGUAGAAAAUUAUUUUCUGGAAAAUCUGAAUGAUUAUAAAGCACAGACCCUACAUACCGACAUUUCUGGAUCCUCCAAUAAAAAAGCUAGCAUAUUGCCCUUACAGAAAGGCAUUACAAAAAACAUUAAAGGAUCUCAGGCUAUGAAAUUUAAUGCUCAUAGUUAUAAAAAGAGAGAACCAUGAAAAUGGAAAAGUAUAAUUUACCAAAGGAGUAAUACAAGAACAACUGUAUGAAAGAAUAUAUUUUCCAAUUGAAGGGGACGAUCUACUAUCUAGUGCUGGUACAAGAAGACAAUAAGAAAACUUGUCUGUAUUGGCUUGUAUUCUGCAUGUCGUGAGAAAAACGUGAAGAAUUUACAACCAUUGGUUUGCACCAUGCAGUUUGCUUUAUUUAUGCUCCUUAUAUCUUUUAGGAGGCCCCUAAGUGACAACUUUUGAAAAGUGGCCUUUGGCUACUGUAUCCCUGUGGAGUGCCAGGCACAAGUUAUUCCAAAACUUUUCUGGAGGAACACACCUUCAAGUCCACAAAUAAGUGUAGAGGAAGAUGAGCUCACAAGCCAAAAUUAGAAAACACAAGAGAAACACUCAAGAGUCCACAGACAAACCAGAGGACACUAUUAGAUGCUCAAGAGUUUCUUGCAAUACAAUAAUCAGAUGAAGAAUGGAAAAAUAACAAUGACCAGCUAUUCAAGAAGAUAAAAGGAGGAUUUGAAAAUAUGAAAGAAGAGUGAGACACUAUCAAAAAGAUCAGACACACUCAAAAAGGAACCAGAUAGAACUUUUAGAAAUAAAUAAUACAGUCAUGAAUUUACAUAAAAGUCAAAGAAUGUGCUAAACUGUAGAUGAGAGAGCUGAAGAGAUGCAAAAGAUAGGUUUAAAAAAUUGAAAUGUGGCACAGAGAGAUGGAAAACAGGAAGGAGUAGGUAAAAGAUACAGGGAGAAAUUGAUGAGAUCCACCAUAUCCAGUACAGUACCAGAAGGAGAGGAGAGAGAAAGAAGUUGAAUGCUCUAUCUUACAACUGAGGGAUCUUGGUCAACUUCCUUAACCUUUCUAGGUUUCAGUUUCCUUCUCUGUAGGAAACUGAGGUUCAAUAAUAGUAACUAUUCCAGAGGGUUGUUAGGAGAUUUGUUAAGUUAAUAAUUGUAAAGUGCUUAGGACAGUCCUGGCACAUAGUAAAUGUUGUAAGGCUUAUUAAGUGAAAAAAAAUAUGAAUGUUUACUGUAAGAGAUUAUCUACUUGAAAUGGUCAACUGCUAUGAGAGGGAGAACUUAUUCACCACUCUUAUGCUAAUUAACCAUUUGAUUAUUACCUCCCUGAUCUUUUAAAAGUUUCAUGCUCUGCCAGCUGAGCUAACUGGGCAUGUCCUCUUUGAUCUUUAAUACUGAACUAAUUCAUAAGAAUUAUACAACUUCUUGUUAAGUUCCAAAAAUAUUAAAAAGUAUAAUUCCAAAACACCAUUACUUGCAAAAGUUCU